GACGAACGCUGGCGGCGUGUUUAACACAUGCAAGUCGAACGGAAAGGCCCUGCUUUUGUGGGGUGCUCGAGUGGCGAACGGGUGAGUAACACGUGAGUAACCUGCCCUUGACUUUGGGAUAACUUCAGGAAACUGGGGCUAAUACCGGAUAGGAGCUCCUGCUGCAUGGUGGGGGUUGGAAAGUUUCGGCGGUUGGGGAUGGACUCGCGGCUUAUCAGCUUGUUGGUGGGGUAGUGGCUUACCAAGGCUUUGACGGGUAGCCGGCCUGAGAGGGUGACUGGCCACAUUGGGACUGAGAUACGGCCCAGACUCCUACGGGAGGCAGCAGUGGGGAAUAUUGCACAAUGGGCGGAAGCCUGAUGCAGCAACGCCGCGUGCGGGAUGACGGCCUUCGGGUUGUAAACCGCUUUCGCCUGUGACGAAGCGUGAGUGACGGUAAUGGGUAAAGAAGCACCGGCUAACUACGUGCCAGCAGCCGCGGUGAUACGUAGGGUGCGAGCGUUGUCCGGAUUUAUUGGGCGUAAAGGGCUCGUAGGUGGUUGAUCGCGUCGGAAGUGUAAUCUUGGGGCUUAACCCUGAGCGUGCUUUCGAUACGGGUUGACUUGAGGAAGGUAGGGGAGAAUGGAAUUCCUGGUGGAGCGGUGGAAUGCGCAGAUAUCAGGAGGAACACCAGUGGCGAAGGCGGUUCUCUGGGCCUUUCCUGACGCUGAGGAGCGAAAGCGUGGGGAGCGAACAGGCUUAGAUACCCUGGUAGUCCACGCUGUAAACGGUGGGUACUAGGUGUGGGGUCCAUUCCACGGGUUCCGUGCCGUAGCUAACGCUUUAAGUACCCCGCCUGGGGAGUACGGCCGCAAGGCUAAAACUCAAAGGAAUUGACGGGGCCCCGCACAAGCGGCGGAGCAUGCGGAUUAAUUCGAUGCAACGCGUAGAACCUUACCUGGGUUUGACAUGGAUCGGGAGUGCUCAGAGAUGGGUGUGCCUCUUUUGGGGUCGGUUCACAGGUGGUGCAUGGCUGUCGUCAGCUCGUGUCGUGAGAUGUUGGGUUAAGUCCCGCAACGAGCGCAACCCUUGUUCACUGUUGCCAGCACGUUAUGGUGGGGACUCAGUGGAGACCGCCGGGGUCAACUCGGAGGAAGGUGGGGAUGACGUCAAGUCAUCAUGCCCCUUAUGUCCAGGGCUUCACGCAUGCUACAAUGGCUGGUACAGAGAGUGGCGAGCCUGUGAGGGUGAGCGAAUCUCGGAAAGCCGGUCUCAGUUCGGAUUGGGGUCUGCAACUCGACCUCAUGAAGUCGGAGUCGCUAGUAAUCGCAGAUCAGCAACGCUGCGGUGAAUACGUUCCCGGGGCU
rnacentral:rRNA from 1 species